rnacentral:rRNA from 1 species
CAGCCGCCGCGGUAAUACGAAGGGUGCAAGCGUUAAUCGGAAUUACUGGGCGUAAAGCGUGCGUAGGUGGUGGUUUAAGUCCGUUGUGAAAGCCCUGGGCUCAACCUGGGAAUUGCAGUGGAUACUGGGUCACUAGAGCGUGGUAGAGGAUAGUGGAAUUUCCGGUGUAGCAGUGAAAUGCGUAGAGAUCGGAAGGAACAUCUGUGGCGAAGGCGACUAUCUGGGCCAACACUGACACUGAGGCACGAAAGCGUGGGGAGCAAACAGGAUUAGAUACCCGAGUAGUCCCUGUCUCUUAUAC